GUCCAGACUCCUACGGGAGGCAGCAGUGGGGAAUAUUGCACAAUGGGGGAAACCCUGAUGCAGCGACGCCGCGUGGGUGAAGGAGUACUUCGGUACGUAAAGCCCUAUCAGCAGGAAAGAAAAUGACGGUACCUGACUAAGAAGCCCCGGCUAACUACGUGCCAGCAGCCGCGGUAAUACGUAGGGGGCAAGCGUUAUCCGGAUUUACUGGGUGUAAAGGGAGCGUAGGCGGCGACGCAAGUCAGAAGUGAAAGCCCGGGGCUCAACUCCGGGACUGCUUUUGAAACUGCGUUGCUAGAUUGCGGGAGAGGCAAGUGGAAUUCCUAGUGUAGCGGUGAAAUGCGUAGAUAUUAGGAGGAACACCAGUGGCGAAGGCGGCUUGCUGGACCGUGAAUGACGCUGAGGCUCGAAAGCGUGGGGAGCAAACAGGAUUAGAUACCCGUGUAGU
rnacentral:rRNA from 1 species